rnacentral:rRNA from 1 species
UGUUCCUACGGGGGGCAGCAGUGGGGAAUAUUGCACAAUGGGCGCAAGCCUGAUGCAGCCAUGCCGCGUGUAUGAAGAAGGCCUUCGGGUUGUAAAGUCCUUUCAGCGGGGUGGAAGGGAGUAAAGUUAAUACCUUUGCUCAUUGACGUUACCCGCAGAAGAAGCACCGGCUAACUCCGUGCCAGCAGCCGCGGUAAUACGGAGGGUGCAAGCGUUACUCGGAAUUACUGGGCGUCACGCGCACGCAGGCGGGUUGUUAAGUCCG